rnacentral:rRNA from 1 species
UGGGGGAUAUUGCACAAUGGGCGAAAGCCUGAUGCAGCGACGCCGCGUGGGGGAUGAAGGCUUUCGGGUUGUAAACCUCUUUCGCUAUCGAACAAGGCCCGCUUAGGGUGGGUUGAGGGUAGGUGGAGAAGAAGCGCCGGCUAACUACGUGCCAGCAGCCGCGGUAAUACGUAGGGCGCGAGCGUUGUCCGGAAUUAUUGGGCGUAAAGGGCUUGUAGGCGGCUUGUUGCGCCUGCUGUGAAAACGCGGGGCUUAACUUCGCGCGUGCAGUGGGUACGGGCAGGCUUGAGUGUGGUAGGGGUGACUGGAAUUCCAGGUGUAGAGGUGGAAUGCGCAGAUAUCUGGAGGAGCACCGAUGGCGAAGGCAGGGCACUGGGCCAUUACUGACGCUGAGGAGCGAAAGCAUGGGUAGCGAACAGG